rnacentral:rRNA from 1 species
GAUGAACGCUGGCGGCGUGCCUAAUACAUGCAAGUCGAGCGAACAGACGAUGAGCUUGUUCCUCUGACGUUAGCGGCGGACGUGUGUGUAACACGUGUAUAACCUACCUAUAAGACUGGGAUAACUUCGGGAAACCGGAGCUAAUACCGUAUAAGAUAUUGCACCGUAUGGUUCAAUAGUGAAAGACGGCUUUGCUGUCACUAAUAGCUGGAUCCGCGCCGUAUUAGCUAGUUGUUACGGUAACGGCUUACCAAGGCAACGAUGCGUACCCGACGUGAGGGGGGGAUGGGCCCCCCGGAAACUGAGACACGGCCCAGCCCCCUAGGGAGGGCAGCGGCGGGGAAGCUUCCGAAAUGGGGGAAAGCCUGCAGAAGCAGCGCAGGGUGGGUGAAGAAGGUCUGCGGUUGGUAAAACGUUUUUUUGGGGGAAAAACGAAUUGGCAGGUAACUAAGCGUGUCUGACGGGAACCAAUAAAGAAGCACCGGCUAACUUCGUG